GAUGAACGCUGGCGGCGUGCCUAAUACAUGCAAGUCGAGCGAACAGACGAGGAUCUUGCUCCUCUGACGUUAGCGGCGGACGGGUGAGUAACACGUGGAUAACCUACCUAUAAGACUGGGAUAACUUCGGGAAACCGGAGCUAAUACCGGAUAAUAUAUUGAACCGCAUGGUUCAAUAGUGAAAGACGGUUUUGCUGUCACUUAUAGAUGGAUCCGCGCCGCAUUAGCUAGUUGGUAAGGUAACGGCUUACCAAGGCGACGAUGCGUAGCCGACCUGAGAGGGUGAUCGGCCACACUGGAACUGAGACACGGUCCAGACUCCUACGGGAGGCAGCAGUAGGGAAUCUUCCGCAAUGGGCGAAAGCUUGACGGAGCAACGCCGCGUGAGUGAUGAAGGUCUUCGGAUCGUAAAACUCUGUUAUUAGGGAAGAACAAAUGUGUAAGUAACUAUGCACGUCUUGACGGUACCUAAUCAGAAAGCCACGGCUAACUACGUG
rnacentral:rRNA from 1 species